AGAGUCUUCUCCCACCAUGUGAAACCUUGUGUACUGGAUGAGAAAGCACAGGGCAGGUGAUGAAGGGCAGGCAAUGAUGCUGGGCUAUAUUAUGGUUCUUACCAGAAACAUCUGGGCUCAGAGAGGUGGAGGAUGCCACAAGCCCGUGAGGCUGAGACCUGGCAGUGGCCUCAAGAGGUGGAAUAAAACGCUCAAAUGUCAGCUUCUGAACAGACUACCAGAGACCAAGGUGAGGACCAACUGCUCCUUUGUCUCUGUGCACGGGUGUCCACAAACAUGUAGCCAUGAUUUAUAAUUCCUUCCUGAUCUGGAGUCUUCUAUCAAAUAUCUUUGUACACAAAGCCUGAGGAAUAUUUGGUGGGAAAGCCCCUUCUCUUGUGGGACCUGCCUGCGAGCCUUCUCUAUCAGAUGCAGGGCAAACUCUGCUCCUCCCUUCUGGCCUGGGUUGCAAUGAUGGAUUAAGUAGAAGAGAUUGCCGGUGAUGGGAAUUCUCCAACCAGGACCUCUCAACUGAGCAAUGACAAGCUGCCCUGUUUUAUCCCAUGAAG